AGAGACGAAUGUGCAGUCGCUUUACAUUUAUUGUGAAGAGGAAAGUCCGAACUUUAACUGCAAAAAAGCAUAGGCAUUAUUGCAGAAAACGGUAGCAGGUAAUACCUGUCGCCCGCAAGGGCAGAGGUGCGAACAGAGACGCCUUUUCCGGAGACGGAAAAAGUAUCCUUAUUAUCAAGGGAGACGUUUUCCCGCAAAUGAGAAAGCGGGAAAAGUAGCAUGGAAAAAGGAUAAGCUUUUGCAGCAAUGCAGAAGGUGAAACGGCUAAAUCCUUACUGGAAAGCAAGAUUGAAGUAUAGUCGCUUGAUCGUUAAAAGUGAUUUUAACGGCAGAGAAAUGACUGCGCUUUUAAGGUUUAUUUUUAAAAGACAGAAUUCGGCUUAUAAUCCGUCUUUGCUU
rnacentral:RNase_P_RNA from 2 species